rnacentral:rRNA from 1 species
CGUUGUCCGGAAUUACUGGGCGUAAAGAGCUCGUAGGUGGUUUGUCGCGUCGUCUGUGAAAUCCCGGGGCUUAACUUCGGGCGUGCAGGCGAUACGGGCAUAACUUGAGUGCUGUAGGGGAGACUGGAAUUCCUGGUGUAGCGGUGAAAUGCGCAGAUAUCAGGAGGAACACCAAUGGCGAAGGCAGGUCUCUGGGCAGUAACUGACGCUGAGGAGCGAAAGCAUGGGUAGCGAACAGGAUUAGAUACCCUGGUAGUCCAUGCCGUAAACGGUGGGCGCUAGGUGUAGGGGACUUCCACGUCUUCUGUGCCGCAGCUAACGCAUUAAGCGCCCCGCCUGGGGAGUACGGCCGCAAGGCUAAAACUCAAAGGAAUUGACGGGGGCCCGCACAAGCGGCGGAGCAUGUGGAUUAAUUCGAUGCAACGCGAAGAACCUUACCUGGGCUUGACAUACACCAGAUCGCUGCAGAGAUGUAGCUUCCCUUGUGGCUGGUGUACAGGUGGUGCAUGGUUGUCGUCAGCUCGUGUCGUGAGAUGUUGGGUUAAGUCCCGCAACGAGCGCAACCCUUGUCUUAUGUUGCCAUCACGUGAUGGUGGGCACUCAUGAGAGACUGCCGGGGUUAACUCGGAGGAAGGUGGGGAUGACGUCAAAUCAUCAUGCCCCUUAUGUCCAGGGCUUCACACAUGCUACAAUGGUCGGUACAGCGAGUUGCCACACCGUGAGGUGGAGCUAAUCUCUUAAAGCCGGCCUCAGUUCGGAUUGGGGUCUGCAACUCGACCCCAUGAAGUCGGAGUCGCUAGUAAUCGCAGAUCAGCAACGCUGCGGUGAAUACGUUCCCGGGCCUUGUACACACCGCCCGUCACGUCAUGAAAGUUGGUAACACCCGAAGCCAGUGGCCCAACCCGUAAGGGGGGGAGCUGUCGAAGGUGGGAUCGGCGAUUGGGACGAAGUCGU